CGCCACAUGGGAACUGAGCAUCUAUGAACGACCAUGAAUGACAGUGUCCUGGAAGUGAAGGGACAUAGGACGAGGGAGAAAGGAAAUUAACCACCCAGCAAAGCCGGUGCUACACAAUGACUUCCACACAGCUUGAAACUCAUCCGGGAUGUACAGAAAGGAUGCCUUGCAUUGAUUCUGCUGGCCCACCUGCUCCCUCUCCUAGAUUUCUGGCUGGGAGCCCUGUGGCACAUUUGCCUCUGGUUCCUGCAUGAGAUCCACUCGCUCCCAUCUCUCCACUGACCCUGCCGUCUCGAGGGCUGUGUUUCCAAUGGCACCUCCCAAGAAGUUGCAAAGGGGCUUCCCACGGCUCAGCGAGUACCAGUCGGUUCCUCUACCACACACGGGUGUAUGUGUUUUUAAUGAGGAUUUUAAUGCAUAAUUUCUCCAACAAGUUGAAUUAUCUGUGG
rnacentral:lncRNA from 1 species